rnacentral:tRNA from 1 species
CGAGGCGUAGCGCAGUUGGUAGCGCGCAGCGUUCGGGACGCUGAGGUCGUGAGUUCGAAUCUCGUCGCCUCGACCA